AUAUGUGAAACUAACUUGCUCUUUAACUAUUUCUGUCCUUUCCUAAACUACCUUGUGUCCUUUCGCAAUAUGUAUGUGAAUGUGAUGUAUCAUUAAUGUGUUGAAUCUCUUGGGUCGGGACGAGUUUUGUGUAUGAGACGUGUAUGUGUCUUUGGGUUGUUAUUAAGAAUAGUUAGACCAUCUUUACCGGAGAGUACUUUUAGGGGUACUCUCAGUGUUGGGCCCCAAAAUCCUAUUUAAAAACCCAUUUCUGAGACAAAAAAUGAAAGUAUCGUUACUUUGGGAAGAAAUUAAGCAACUUCCUGGGUGGAUCUCCAUUGGUACAUUCAUAAAUAUAAAGUUUUUUUUUUUCCAUUUCUCUUUCAUUCUUCCCCGACUCUGUCUCUUCUCUCUCGGAAAGGCGAUGGAAGAGACGAUUCGUCCGAAAAUCUGGAAAUUCAAUCGAUUCACAUCAAAUCCGUUGAAUUUUUAGGCUAAAUCUGGAGGGUUGAUGGUCACCGGAGGCGACGGCAUUAUAAAUCGACGAAGACGGUUCUUUGAGGUACUGGUAUCAGCGGAAUAACGUGGAUCUCACCGUAUCAAAAUCUGCUGUUUGGAAUGAUGAUGUUGUUCAAGCUGCUCUCGAUAGUGCUGCUUUUUGGGUCGACGGGUUGCCCUUUGUUAAGUCUUUAUCUGGUUACUGGAAGUUCUUCUUGGCACCUAAACCUGCAAAUGUUCCAGACAAGUUUUAUGAUGCUGCAUUUCCUGAUUCAGAUUGGAGCGCUUUACCCGUACCUUCCAACUGGCAGUGUCAUGGAUUUGAUCGGCCUAUUUAUACGAAUGUGGUGUACCCUUUCUCGAAUGAUCCUCCUCAUGUUCCUGUGGCCUAUUUAUAUGAAUGAUUCAAUAGAGGGUCAGAUUGCUUCUGUGGAUAUUAAACUACCGAGAAGAAGUUUGCAAGUGGAGUUUACUUGCAAUUUAUGUGGAGAAAGAACUAAGCGGCUUAUCAAUCGACAUGCUCAUGAACGUGGCCUUGUCUUUGUCUAGUGUGCAGGAUGUCUUCAGUAUCAUAAACUGGUUGACAAUCUUGGUACCGAGCAAGUUUGAUACCGAGCAGGUUUGAUAUACGAGUUCCCAGUGCAGUAUUGACCCACAUUCCUACUCUUCCUUCUAGCUGAUUCAAUGCAGUUCCUCCAUUCUGUAAACGAGAAUUUAAAGAAAGUUAUAAUCAUAGAAGAAUGGCAAUAUGAAAUUGUUCUUUUGAAGAUUGUUGUUCAGUAUGAAAUUUGUUUUAUCAUUUUAGAUAAUUAAAAUUUGAUAAUUAAUAAACAAAAUUUUUAAAAAUA